CGGGUAUAUUUGUCUCUGAUCUGCGGAGGCUACCAUGAUAGCUGGCUGGUACGUUAGACAAUCGGUGCUUUAAUGUGUGUACUGCUGGAAUAAGCGGAAAAUUUCAUAAUUUAAAUAAUGCAUAUAUACCUGGUGAUGAUUGAACCCGUGACACUAGAAAUCCUGCUCUCUACCGCUAACUGAGCUAGCUGGGGACCUCAGAGUAAACAGUGGCUCAGUAUUGAAUACAAUCGAAUGGCAAAACAAUGACCUCUUAUCGGGAUUUGUUGAGGGAAAAGGAAGCCCAGAACUGGGUCAAGGCCGCCCUCGCCCUCAACAUCACCAAGGGGGGGGGGGGGUUACAAAGUUUUGUGGAGGACGUGCUGACAUGCGUACAUCAGGACAUCUAUAACAACGUUAGAACAUCCAGGGGUCUUCCUACCCGGGCAACAUGUGCACAUUGUUUCACCGAGAACGUGUUAAAGUGCUCCACUCCUAAGAUAUGCACAAGUAAAAAAACUGCAAAUUUCAUAACGGCCCUUCAAAACAGUGUGUUCCUUGUCCAAAUGGGAUUUGUGAAGGCGUCCGUGAUGAAAUAGUUCAACAUCACAGGUAUUCAGGACCAUCAUGGAAGAACACGAACGCAGACAAAUGGUGUACCAUUCCCUGGGAGAUAGGCAAGUGUUUCCUGCCUCCUGAUGGCUACAAGACCUUGUCCUCCAUCAAAGACAGUGACUUCAACGGAGUGAUCAGCGUCAUGAUUAAUUGCGAGGAUUUCCAAACCAAGCUGUCGUUUAAAGUUGCGACACAGCCAAAUUUUUUAACAGAGGUUCGGGACAUUGGUCGCCGCGUACCCACUUCAAUGACCAGAAGUUCAAUGACACGGAACUAGUUGACUUGCUGUUCAAGCUCCGCACCCUGCUGGAGGACAAGACUGAUCUAGCAAACCGAACCGAGGCACAAGACGCCUGUGGAACAGCUUAAGAAGGUAAAGAAUGGAUCUGAAGACCAAGACCCCUCGUUGCCUAUCUUGGUGACAGCACUCAUGUAGCAGUCAAGUAUAGAGUCAUCAUAUUCCAUCGAAACGCAGUCAACCGUAUCAAUACACUGCUGUUGACAUGAUGGCACGUUAAAGGCCGCUCUUGGUGUCAGCAUGGUAGCUGUAGCCAGCAACACACUCACACACGACCCCAUUCCUGCAGUCGGAGUUGCUAGCUGUACAAUCGGCAUUCACCAGGCAAAUAUAUUGAUCCCUGUGAUAAAGCGUUCUUUAUCACCAUCGAUUCAGGUAGUGUUAAAGAUUAUGAAAUUAAUUUUAUUGUCGGUUAAAAAAACACACCCUACUACCCUGCUUAUUUAC